GGUGAACGCUGGCGGCAUGGAUAAGGCAUGCAAGUCGAAUGCAUUUAGGUGCAUGGCAGACGAGGUAGUAACACGUAGGAACGUACCCAGAAGUCGGGAAUAACCCGGAGAAAUCCGGAAUAAUACCCGAUGGUCUCGCAAGAGUAAAGAUUUAUCGCUUCUGGAGCGGCCUGCGUAGUAUCAGCUUGUUGGUAAGGUAAAAGCUUACCAAGGGCUAUGACGCUUAGGGGAGGUGAGAGCCUGACCCCCACCGAUGGAACUGAGACACGGUCCAU
rnacentral:rRNA from 1 species